rnacentral:lncRNA from 1 species
AUGCCGAUGGCAAGCGAAACAGGUCUGCUGGAGUUUGCUGGAGGUUCACUCCAGACCCUGUUUGCCUGGAUAUCACCAGCGGAGUCUGCAGAACAGCCAAGGUUGCUGCCUGUUCCUUCUUCUGGAAGCUUCAUCCCAAAGUGGCACCAGAUACCAGGCAGAGUUGUCCUGUAUGAGCCCAGAAUUCCACUGAGGAAGCUGUUGUGGCAGGGAGAUAGCCUGCAACUCAGGUGCCCAGGAUGGAGUCUCACUCUAUCACCCAGGCUGGCAUGCAGUGGCGCAAUCUCCACUCACUGCAACCUCUGUCUCCUGAGUUCAAGCGAUUCUCCUGCCUCAGCCUCCUGAGUAACUGGGAUUACAGGCGUGUGCCACCACACCUGGCUCAUUUUUGUACUUUUAGUAGAGAUGGGGUUUCACCAUGUUGGCCAGGCUGAUCUCGAGCUCCUGACCUCAAGUGAUCUGUCUGCCUUGGCCUACCAAAGUACUGGGAUUACAGGUGUGAGGCACCAUGCCUGGCCAGAAUUAUGUACUAUUAAAAAUUAAGGCUAAAUAUUAAUUUCUCCGGUUUACAACUUGAUUGUGUGUGUGUAUAAAGUUUUAUUCAGCUAUGUAACGUAUACAUCUAGUCCUUCUAGCUGGAUCAUUCUUAAGGUAAAUAAACAUAACAGCAAUGCACGUACACAGGGCAUUUAUUAUAAUGUUGACUAGGAAGUCAGCUAGGCCAAGCCACAUGGCUCUCACAAGAGGACUUAUUCCUGGCUAAACUCAAUCUGCUUGGGUGUAGGUGUUUUCCAUGUGGAGUCCACUGGGCCCAUUACUGGUCUCUACAAGUUCUUCAAGGCCAUAGUCCUUGCCCUCUGGGAACCCAGAGAAGGAGAGGCUUAGCACAAUUCCUGUACAAAGUAGGUAAUGGAGGCAUGUUUCCUGAAUAAAUAAGCAAACAAGUGAUAAGAAAGCUUCACAUAUAGCCAUAACAUAGGGCUGAACAUGAAAGCCAGAAGAUAAAUACCAAGAGCCACUGGGUUUAAGGGGGGAAAAAGGAAAACCACGUCUAGCUGGAUAAAUCAGCAAAGGCCCCAGAGAAAGGGUGAUAUUUAGAUGAGAACUGAAGAAGGAAAAGAAUUUUAGACUAUGAAGAUGCAAAAGGAAAAUAAAUGUAGUGAUUAUUGUUUUCAUCUGGACAGCACCAAUCACUGGGCAACUUUAGUAGCAGACUCUGCCAUACUAGCCAAUGUGUGGCAGAUGAGCCAGGUUAAGCCAAUCAUCAUCCCACUUGAAUUGAAUUUACUUUAUUGUAUUGUUUUCUGAGACAGGGUCUCUCUCUGUUGCCCAGACUGGACUGCAGUGAUGCAGUAAUGGUUCAUUGUAGCCUAGACCUCCUGGGCCCCAUCGAUCCUCCCACCUCAUCCUCCCAAGUAGCUGGGACUACAGGUGCGUGCCAUCAUGCCUGGCUAGUUUUUUUUUUUUUUUUUGGUAGAGUUGGGGUUUCACCAUGUUGCUUAGGCUGGUCUUAAACUUUGGGGCUUAAGCAAUCUUCCUGCCCCAGUCUCCCAAGUGCUGGGAUUAGAAGAGUGAGCCACUGUGCCAGUCCACUUUACUUUAGUCUCUCUGCAAUAGAACACCUUGAGGCUAAGAGACACUUUGCUCAAGCCAGGCCAAUCAAUCACAUGGUCUCUCCUAAGGAUUUGUACCUUGAACAUACAAGAUGGAGAAGCUAAGAGGGGGUUGACUGGGAUAAAGACACCUUGAAGACAGCCUUUGGAAGAAGGUUCCCGGGCUCCUUUGGCUUAGAUCUCUGAACUACCUUGGGAUGUAGACUUCACGACAAUAAAUUGUCCUACUCUCCCUUUGAGUCUGUGAGCUACCCUUCCAGUUAGUGCUCUCCAACUCCUUUAUUUUUCUUAAAUCAGUCCAAGGCAGUUUAUUGCU